ACAAGCCCACUGAUUUAACCAGCUCAAUGUGUGCUCAAAACCAUGUCGUGUCUCAUCACAGUAGAGAUUCAUAUCGGAUAAGCAUUCUUCAGCCAAUUUCUUCCAUUCUUCUUCCCCAUAUGUAAUGUACCAUUGGUCAGUAAGUGCCACAACACAUUCAUCACCAGACCUUGACACAACCCGCUUCUCAGGUUCACUAUACAUAACUGCCUCACCAAUCUCAAUGAGCUUGGCCCUAAUCAAUGGCUUUGCUUCCUGG
rnacentral:misc_RNA from 1 species